GGGGAAACGCUUGGCGUGAAUAGCGUCAGGUAUGCAAGUUGAGCGAGAAAGCCGAAAGGUGAGUAAAGCAGCGUAAGGGUGAGUAAUGGGUAGCCAACGUACCUUCAAGACGCGAAUAGCCUGUCGAAAGAUGGAGUAAUGCGCGAUGAGACCACGGCCUGUACGCAGGCAGGGGUCAAAGGUCUGGGAUCCUUCGGGACCAGGCGGCUUGAUGAGCGGGCGACCCCCGAUUAGCUAGUUGGCGGUGUAAUGGACCACCAAGGCGAUGAUCGGUAGCCGGGCUGAGAGGCUGUCCGGCCACACUGGCACUGAGACACUGGCCAGACUCCUACGGGAGGCUGCAGUCGCGAAUUUUUCACAAUGGGCGCAAGCCUGAUGGAGCCACGCCGUGUGCAGGAUGAAGGCCCUCUGGGUUGUAAACUGCUGUCAGGGAAGGGGAAACGCUUGGCGUGAAUAGCGUCAGGUUUGACUGCUUUCCAAAGGAAGCCCCGGCAAAACAUGUGCCAGCAGCCGCGGUAAUACAUGUGGGGCAAGCGUUGUUCGGAAUCACUGGGCAUAAAGGGUGCGUAGGCGGCAUGACAAGUCAGUGGUGAAAUCCUUCGGCCCAACCGGAGAACUGCCAUUGAUACUGUUGUGCUUGAGUGCGGGAGGGGUAGCUGGAACGAGUGGUGUAGCGGUGAAAUGCGUAGAUAUCACUCGGAACACCAAAGGCGAAGGCAGGCUACUGGACCGCAACUGACGCUGAGGCACGAAAGCGUGGGGAGCAAACAGGAUUAGAUACCCUGGUAGUCCACGCUGUAAACGAUGAGCACUAGAUCGCCGGAGAGUUAUUCUUUAGCGGUCGCAGACAAUUUGCUAAGUGCUCCGCCUGGGGAGUAUGGUCGCAAGACUGAAACUCAAAGGAAUUGACGGGGGCUCACACAAGCGGUGGAGGAUGUCGUUAUCGUGACUGGG
rnacentral:rRNA from 1 species